CAGAGUGGAGCCACCUGAUGGCGUUUUAGAGAUCAAACACUUUGCUGUCUUUCUGCAGCUGAGAGUGGAAGGGGAAGAGCGGGUGCUGUUAGGCUGAGCACCAUUCUCAUGCGCCGAUGCUGGCAGCUGGGUCUGGCCUGAAGGUGGCAGCACCACCUCUGCCUGGCUGUAGUCUGGACUCAAAAGAGGCAGGGAUGGAGGACGGGGCCUGGGGAGGGCCCGAGCCCUUCCCUUCCUGGGCUGACUGAUCUGCAGCACGAAGCCUCUAGUUAGACGCACGUGCCUUUUCAUUGGUAGAAGUGGAGAGUGUAACGGCCGGUUGACCAGAGCCUGCCGUGCUGCCUGUGGGGUUCUCCAGGUAGAAUCUGGGGACAUGGUUUGGAUAGGAAAGUGGGAGAUGGAACAUGAGGGAAGGAAAUAGACUGAAAGUGGGGCCUCCAUGUUUCCAGCUUUCCUGGCUAGGCUUUGAACGUCUCAGCUCCCUCUCUCUCUUCUGGUUGGGUUUCCUCUGAUGGGCUGAUGGAUUUCCUGGGAGAUGGGCUCAGGUUAUGUGGUGAUGUUCAUGUCCAAGGUAGGGAGAUGGAGCCACAGCUCAUGUCUGUGUGAUGCUUGAAGCCUUUCAUCUCCACUUGGCUCCCCAUCUGUUUGGUGGCUCAAGAACUCCUCUGCGCAACUGGCACUUUCAUGGUCUCAUUUUAGGAAGAUUUCAGGCCUACUUAAUGGUCCAGCAGGUCAAAUUCAAAGCUGAAUACUCCAGGGUGACCCAGCAAAUGCCUAAUUUUCCAGAACUAAUCCGUCCUGCUUGACUUCUCCUCUGUCCUCUUCCCAGGUCGGCAGAGCCGUCAGAGUCACUCUCGUGGAGUGCAAAAAGACAACUGUCACCACAGAUGAAUGGAAUAGGGCCACUCAGAGAGGAGAAUCUGCUUGGAAGACGAUUCACUGAAAACGUUCGAGGAGGCUGCGGUGCACUUGAUCCCUAUAUGAAGAACAGCCAUCUGAUAGGUUCUCAACCCAGUCAUGUGUGUCGACUCCAAAACACGGGCAGUGUUUGUCUCUGGGGCUCUGUGGAGGCAGGAAUGCUCCAAUAUAUCACCGUCAUUAUCGUGCUGCCAGCCUUAGAGCUCUCGUGUGGAUGUCUUGCUUCUGUCCCACCCCCAGGUCUGGUAAGAUGAAAACUCUGGGCAUUUCACAUAGCCUCAAGCUAUUGAUGACUAUAAAACCUGGAGCCAGAAGGAUUUACAUUCUUUCCCUGAAGACAAAACAUAGCUUGUCUCUGCUAAGAUCUUAUCUCCUUAAUGAGGGAGAGGCAGUAUAAUUAAGGCCUUUCUCCAGGGCUGUGGAUGUGCCAAACCUGCUGGCAAGUUUGCUUAGGUUUCAUAAAUCAAAUUUGUUUGGACCUUCACAUACUUUGGGGCCAGGUCUGACACCCAUUAAUGGAAGCUGUCACAGUGGCUUUUGUUUUUUCUUCUCAUGGGAAGUUUCCUUUGUUUAGAGCAGAGCUUCUUAGAUGGUGCUGCUGACUCUGGCCAGAUGGCCACUCUCACGGCAAAGUCGUGGGAGGAAGGAGGGUUGCUGUUAAGUCGGAGGGGUGAGGUAGAGGCCUCUGGGAGGGAGUGAGCCCUUGGGCAUGCAGCAAGUUCUUCUGAUCUGGGAGAAGCAGGAGUGCCCAGUAUUCGGCAGGCCCCCGACCACCCAGCAGUGCCCAAACCACUUCGGGCUGCUUCGCUCUGCUGGCUGUUACGAGGUCUUCAGCGUUGUUCUCCAAAGAGUCCGGUAGAAUUAGAUAUAGUUGCGAUUUGCAUGCUAAACAAGCUGUUUGGAAUAAAUAUGCUGGCUGCAUUGUUUUCUUGGCUCUU
ensembl:lncRNA